UACGUAGGGUGCAAGCGUUAAUCGGAAUUACUGGGCGUAAAGCGUGCGCAGGCGGUUGUGCAAGACCGAUGUGAAAUCCCCGGGCUCAACCUGGGAACUGCAUUUGUGACUGCACGGCUGGAGUGCGGCAGAGGGGGAUGGAAUUCCGCGUGUAGCAGUGAAAUGCGUAGAUAUGCGGAGGAACACCGAUGGCGAAGGCAAUCCCCUGGGCCUGCACUGACGCUCAUGCACGAAAGCGUGGGGAGCAAACAGG
rnacentral:rRNA from 1 species